rnacentral:rRNA from 1 species
GGAGUUAGCCGGUGCUUCUUCUGUGAGUGAUGUCCUUCCUGCCGGCUAUUAACCCGCAGGCCUUCUUCCUCACUGAAAGUGCUUUACAACCCGAAGGCCUUCUUCACACACGCGGCAUGGCUGGAUCAGGGUUGCCCCCAUUGUCCAAUAUUCCCCACUGCUGCCUCCCGUAGGAGUCUGGGCCGUGUCUCAGUCCCAGUGUGGCUGAUCAUCCUCUCAGACCAGCUACGGAUCGUCGCCUUGGUGAGCCGUUACCUCACCAACCAGCUAAUCCGACAUAGGCUCAUCCGAUAGCGCGAGGCCCGAAGGUCCCCCGCUUUCCCCCGUAGGGCGUAUGCGGUAUUAGCCUGGGUUUCCCCAGGUUAUCCCCCACUACCGGGCAGAUUCCUAUGCAUUACUCACCCGUCCGCCGCUCGCCACCAGGGAGCAAGCUCCCCGUGCUGCCGCUCGACUUGCAUGUGUAGCUGCCGCCAGCGUCAUCUGAGCGAGAUACGAACCUACUACACGAGACGGCGGCGCGACGACGGCG